rnacentral:rRNA from 1 species
CCAAGGCUAAAUACUCCUGACUGACCGAUAGUGAACCAGUACCGUGAGGGAAAGGCGAAAAGAACCCCGGCGAGGGGAGUGAAAAAGAACCUGAAACCGUGUACGUACAAGCAGUGGGAGCACAGGUUUACCUGUGUGACUGCGUACCUUUUGUAUAAUGGGUCAGCGACUUAUAUUCUGUAGCAAGGUUAACCGUAUAGGGGAGCCGGAGGGAAACCGAGUCUUAAUUGGGCGUUAAGUUGCAGGGUAUAGACCCGAAACCCGGUGAUCUAGCCAUGGGCAGGUUGAAGGUUGGGUAACACUAACUGGAGGACCGAACCGACUAAUGUUGAAAAAUUAGCGGAUGACCUGUGGCUGGGGGUGAAAGGCCAAUCAAACCGGGAGAUAGCUGGUUCUCCCCGAAAGCUAUUUAGGUAGCGCCUCGUGAAUUCAUCUCCGGGGGUAGAGCACUGUUUCGGCUAGGGGGCCAUCCCGGCUUACCAACCCGAUGCAAACUGCGAAUACCGGAGAAUGUUAUCACGGGAGACACACGGCGGGUGCUAACGUCCGUCGUGAAGAGGGAAACAACCCAGACCGCCAGCUAAGGUCCCAAAGUCAUGGUUAAGUGGGAAACGAUGUGGGAAGGCCCAGACAGCCAGGAUGUUGGCUUAGAAGCAGCCAUCAUUUAAAGAAAGCGUAAUAGCUCACUGGUCGAGUCGGCCUGCGCGGAAGAUGUAACGGGGCUAAACCAUGCACCGAAGCUGCGGCAGCGACGCUUAUG